rnacentral:rRNA from 1 species
AGAGUUUGAUCCUGGCUCAGAACGAACGCUGGCGGCAGGCCUAACACAUGCAAGUCGAGCGCGCCUUUCGGGGUGAGCGGCGAACGGGUUAGUAACGCGUGGGAACGUGCCCUCUUCUUGGGAAUAGCCACUGGAAACGGUGAGUAAUGCCCGAUACGCCCUUUUGGGGAAAGAUUUAUCGGAGGAGGAUCGGCCCGCGUUAGAUUAGGUAGUUGGUGGGGUAAUGGCCUACCAAGCCUACGAUCUAUAGCUGGUUUGAGAGGAUGAUCAGCAACACUGGGACUGAGACACGGCCCAGACUCCUACGGGAGGCAGCAGUGGGGAAUCUUGGACAAUGGGGGGAACCCUGAUCCAGCCAUGCCGCGUGAGUGAAGAAGGCCUUAGGGUCGUAAAGCUCUUUCGCCGGGGAAGAUAAUGACGGUACCCGGAGAAGAAACCCCGGCUAACUCCGUGCCAGCAGCCGCGGUAAUACGGAGGGGGUUAGCGUUGUUCGGAAUUACUGGGCGU